UAUUCGGUUGUUAAAGGGGGGGUGAAAUGCUCAUUUUCACUCAAUCUCCUGUUAAUCUUGAGUACCUAUAGAGUAGUACUGCAUCCUUCAUAUCUCCAAAAAGUCUUUAGUUUUAUUAUAUUUAUAAAAGAAAAAUAGUCUGUGCCGAUUUUUUUCGGAAAAACACGAGCGUCUGGAGGCGUGACGUGUGGGCGGAGCUAAAGAAUCACGAGCGCGAGUAGGCUUUUGCGUUGAGAGCGUUUGGAAGUUGUGACAUUACCGUGAGGAAAAAAAAAACAAUCCAAAACAAACCAUGGCUAACAGUCAGAUUCAGCCGUUUAUUUAUGAUCCAGAAUCAGAUCACGAGGCUGAAACUGAACGAGAGCAGCAGCAGCAAUGACUACAGCAGGACGUCUCUAUGUGUACAAGGUUUACUUGAUGUGCUUACGCGCCGAUAGCUAAGUUAACAACACAGAGAUAUAUGAAGCAGUUUUACUCACCGCCUGCGGUUCCAACACACGAUCGUGACCCUUUUUCGUUGGGAUUGCAUCAUCCUUAAGAAAUAAACGAUAUGCAAAUCCGUCGUCAAACUGGGCCUUGUUUCUAAAACAAGCAUCUUCGAAAUGCAGGGAACAAACAAAAACACUU